CCUACGGGAGGCAGCAGUGGGGAAUAUUGCACAAUGGGGGAAACCCUGAUGCAGCGACGCCGCGUGAGUGAAGAAGUAUUUCGGUAUGUAAAGCUCUAUCAGCAGGGAAGAAAAUGACGGUACCUGACUAAGACGCCCCGGCUAACUACGUGCCAGAGGCCGCGGUACUUCGUAGGGGGCAAGCGUUAUCCGGAUUUACGGGGUUUAAAGGGAGCGUAGACGGCAAGACAGGUCAGAAGUAAAAGCCCAGGGCUCAACGCUGGGACUGCUUUUGAAACUGCCGGGCUGGAGUGCAGGAGAGGUAAGCGGAAUUCCUAGUGUAGCGGUGAAAUGCGUAGAUAUUAGGAGGAACACCAGUGGCGAAGGCGGCUUACGGGACUGUAACUGACGUUGAGGCUCGAAAGCGUGGGGAGCAAACAGGAUUAGAUACCCUUGUAGUC
rnacentral:rRNA from 1 species